rnacentral:rRNA from 1 species
AUCCAGCGAACUUGGCAGAGAUGCCUUGGGUGCCUUCGGGAACGCUGAGACAGGUGCUGCAUGGCUGUCGUCAGCUCGUGUUGUGAAAUGUUGGGUUAAGUCCCGNAACGAGCGCAACCCUUAUCCUUUGUUGCCAGCGAUUCGGUCGGGAACUCAAAGGAGACUGCCGGUGAUAAACCGGAGGAAGGUGGGGAUGACGUCAAGUCAUCAUGGCCCUUACGAGUAGGGCUACACACGUGCUACAAUGGCGCAUACAAAGAGAAGCGACCUCGCGAGAGCAAGCGGACCUCAUAAAGUGCGUCGUAGUCCGGAUCGGAGUCUGCAACUCGACUCCGUGAAGUCGGAAUCGCUAGUAAUCGUGGAUCAGAAUGCCACGGUGAAUACGUUCCCGGGCCUUGUACACACCGCCCGUCACACCAUGGGAGUGGGUUGCAAAAGAAGUAGGUAGCUUAACCUUCGGGAGGGCGCUUACCACUUUGUGAUUCAUGACUGGGGUGAAGUCGUAACAAGGUAAGCGUAGCGAG